UAAUUAGGAACCAACAAUCUACUUCAACGUAGCUGUACAAUGUUCCUUGGGUGGCAAACUCUGCAUAAUUAUUUGCUCUGCUCUGACAUUCAAAAAAUAUAAUACAAAAACGUGAUGAACACACAGCUACAAGAUAUAACAGUAAAAUGAAAGUAUCUAUGUAAAACCUAUAUAUUAUUGUAUAGAUCAUUCAAUGCAUUUUCUUUAUAUAUAACCAAUUUCUUACCUAGGAGUUCAGAGCAUAUUGGUGUUGACUCCUGUGUGCAAUGUGCAAAUAUACCUCGUCUGCACUUAAUCUGCGCUGUAUUACUGUAUUUUACUGACAGACCCCCUGUUUCGUUAAUCAAACAGUUUACCUUAUUUUUCCAUGUACAAGUGGUCCUCACUUUACAACCUGCCUGUUUUAGAAUGGCUCGAACUUACAACCAGCUCUCUAGCGUGGGGGUUCAAGGGAUUCCCCACGUUGGAGUGUUGCUCUAUGUUCGGGCAGUUUUCCCCGAACAUAGAUAAGAGGGAUUCCCUGCUCUAGUGCGUCUGUCUGGGGAAAUUUACCCGAACAUAGCCAUAUGCACCAGAACAGAGAAUCCCUCUAAUCUAUGUUCGGGGAAAUUUCCCAAAACAUAGACGUCACUUACUGACCAACAGGGCCGGACUGAGGAUACAAUGCAGACCUGAUAAAAUUCUAUAUAAAAAAAAAAAUAUAGAGCUAUCUAUCUAUCCUUGCACUUAGGCUCAACAGUUAUUGAAUUAGCUGGGCGCCAGUCCCUGAGGCACUAGUAGAUAAACAUAACAAACAAAUUUGGGCUGCACUCACAGUCUUCAAAUAAAACUCAGUUUUAUUGAAUUUCCAUAUUGAUCAGGAGAUUAAUGUUUCAGUCCCCUGCUGGGACUUUCUUCAGGAUAACCCUUUUUAUUACUGGUUUAUGUUUUUUUUUUGUUUUGUUUUUUAAUUCAAAAUAUUGGUCCUUUUAGUGUGAUUAAACUAUAUAGUAAAGCAUACUCAGACAAUCUCUCCCUGACACAAGCUCAUUGGUACACAGGCUCACAGACAAUCUCAUUGAUAUUUGUAAGCUCACUAAGGCACAC